UGGGGAAUUUUGGACAAUGGGCGAAAGCCUGAUCCAGCAAUGCCGCGUGUGUGAAGAAGGCCUUCGGGUUGUAAAGCACUUUUGUCCGGAAAGAAAUGGCUCUGGUUAAUACCUGGGGUCGAUGACGGUACCGGAAGAAUAAGGACCGGCUAACUACGUGCCAGCAGCCGCGGUAAUACGUAGGGUCCAAGCGUUAAUCGGAAUUACUGGGCGUAAAGCGUGCGCAGGCGGUUGUGCAAGACCGAUGUGAAAUCCCCGAGCUUAACUUGGGAAUUGCAUUGGUGACUGCACGGCUAGAGUGUGUCAGAGGGGGGUAGAAUUCCACGUGUAGCAGUGAAAUGCGUAGAGAUGUGGAGGAAUACCGAUGGCGAAGGCAGCCCCCUGGGAUAACACUGACGCUCAUGCACGAAAGCGUGGGGAGCAAACAGGAUUAGAUACCCUGGUAGUCCACGCCCUAAACGAUGUGCAACUAGGUUGUUGGGGAUUCAUUUCCUUAGUAACGUAGCUAACGCGUGAAGUUGACCGCCU
rnacentral:rRNA from 1 species